rnacentral:rRNA from 1 species
GACGAACGCUGGCGGCGCGCCUAACACAUGCAAGUCGAGGGAGAACCGACUUUCGGUCGGGGAGACCGGCGAACGGGUGAGUAACACGUGAGGAACCUGCCCUGUAGACCGGAAUAACCACGGGAAACUGUGGCUAAUGCCGGAUGGUCUCGGAUGACCGCAUGGAUGUCCGAGGAAAUGGUCUGCCGCUACAGGAUGGCCUCGCGGCCUAUCAGCUAGUUGGUGAGGUAACGGCUCACCAAGGCGA